GAAGCGUCUGGAAAGGCGCGCGAUACAGGGUGACAGCCCCGUACACAAAAAUGCACAUGCUGUGAGCUCGAUGAGUAGGGCGGGACACGUGGUAUCCUGUCUGAAUAUGGGGGGACCAUCCUCCAAGGCUAAAUACUCCUGACUGACCGAUAGUGAACCAGUACCGUGAGGGAAAGGCGAAAAGAACCCCGGCGAGGGGAGUGAAAAAGAACCUGAAACCGUGUACGUACAAGCAGUGGGAGCCUCUUUAUGGGGUGACUGCGUACCUUUUGUAUAAUGGGUCAGCGACUUAUAUUCUGUAGCAAGGUUAACCGAAUAGGGGAGCCGAAGGGAAACCGAGUCUUAACUGGGCGUUAAGUUGCAGGGUAUAGACCCGAAACCCGGUGAUCUAGCCAUGGGCAGGUUGAAGGUUGGGUAACACUAACUGGAGGACCGAACCGACUAAUGUUGAAAAAUUAGCGGAUGACUUGUGGCUGGGGGUGAAAGGCCAAUCAAACCGGGAGAUAGCUGGUUCUCCCCGAAAGCUAUUUAGGUAGCGCCUCGUGAACUCAUCUCCGGGGGUAGAGCACUGUUUCGGCAAGGGGGUCAUCCCGACUUACCAACCCGAUGCAAACUGCGAAUACCGGAGAAUGUUAUCACGGGAGACACACGGCGGGUGCUAACGUCCGUCGUGAAGAGGGAAACAACCCAGACCGCCAGCUAAGGUCCCAAAGUCAUGGUUAAGUGGGAAACGAUGUGGGAAGGCCCAGACAGCCAGGAUGUUGGCUUAGAAGCAGCCAUCAUUUAAAGAAAGCGUAAUAGCUCACUGGUCGAGUCGGCCUGCGCGGAAGAUGUAACGGGGCUAAACCAUGCACCGAAGCUGCGGCAGCGACGCUGAUGCGUUGUUGGGUAGGGGAGCGUUCUGUAAGCCUGUGAAGGUGUGCUGUGAGGCAUGCUGGAGGUAUCAGAAGUGCGAAUGCUGACAUAAGUAACGAUAAAGCGGGUGAAAAGCCCGCUCGCCGGAAGACCAAGGGUUCCUGUCCAACGUUAAUCGGGGCAGGGUGAGUCGACCCCUAAGGCGAGGCCGAAAGGCGUAGUCGAUGGGAAACAGGUUAAUAUUCCUGUA
rnacentral:rRNA from 1 species